rnacentral:rRNA from 1 species
GGGCGUAAAGAGCUCGUAGGCGGUUUGUCGCGUCUGCUGUUAAAACCCGAGGCUCAACCUCGGGCCUGCAGUGGGUACGGGCAGACUAGAGUGCGGUAGGGGAGAUUGGAAUUCCUGGUGUAGCGGUGGAAUGCGCAGAUAUCAGGAGGAACACCGAUGGCGAAGGCAGAUCUCUGGGCCGUUACUGACGCUGAGGAGCGAAAGCAUGGGGAGCGAACAGGAUUAGAUACCCUGGUAGUCCAUGCCGUAAACGUUGGGAACUAGAUGUAGGGGCCAUUCCACGGUUUCUGUGUCGCAGCUAACGCAUUAAGUUCCCCGCCUGGGGAGUACGGCCGCAAGGCUAAAACUCAAAGGAAUUGACGGGGGCCCGCACAAGCGGCGGAGCAUGCGGAUUAAUUCGAUGCAACGCGAAGAACCUUACCAAGACUUGACAUAUACGAGAACGGGCCAGAAAUGGUCAACUCUUUGGACACUCGUAAACAGGUGGUGCAUGGUUGUCGUCAGCUCGUGUCGUGAGAUGUUGGGUUAAGUCCCGCAACGAGCGCAACCCUCGUUCUAUGUUGCCAGCACGUUAUGGUGGGAACUCAUAGGAGACUGCCGGGGUCAACUCGGAGGAAGGUGGGGAUGACGUCAAAUCAUCAUGCCCCUUAUGUCUUGGGCUUCACGCAUGCUACAAUGGCCGAUACAAGGGCUGCAAUACCGUAAGGUGGAGCGAAUCCCAAAAAGUCGGUCUCAGUUCGGAUUGAGGUCUGCAACUCGACCUCAUGAAGUCGGAGUCGCUAGUAAUCGCAGAUCAGCACGCUGCGUGAUUACGUUCCCGGCCUUGUACCCACCGCCGUCAAGUCAUGAAGUCGGUAACACCGAAGCAGU